CAUUGCCUCAGAGACAAUUUCUCUGAUUGCUAAUCAUCUUAACUACCAGUCACUGUCAUAUUACUCUAUUUUAUUUUCCUCAUAGUAUUUAUCAUUGUUCAAAUAUCUUAUUUUGUUUACUUAGUAUCUGUCUCCUCCUCAUUAGAAUAAAAGCUCCUUGAGAACUGCAUUGUCUUGUUGCUCACUUCUGUUUCCAAGAACGAAGCACAGGACUGCCUAAAAUAUAUUACUGAAUAAAGGAUGAAUGGAGAACAUCUUCACAAGGCAUUGAAAACUGUGUCUAAUUUUAAGUCCUCUAAUACUAUUCAUCUCUUUUUUGGACAGGCUCCAUAGUGUCAAUGUCACUUUUUAAAGUGUAAUGUCCAGAUAUGUAUACAACUGUCCAAGUGUUAUUUGACCAAGUACAAAACACAGCAGGAAUAUAACAUUUUUCAAUAAAUGAUACUUAAGAUUAUAGUAUCUCUUUUUUGACAACUGUGUUACUCUAUUGGCUUCUAUUACAUGUCAGUCAACUAAAAUCUUCUUUCAAAAAAUAAGUGUUUCUAGUCUUUUCUCUUGUCCGCCAUCCUAUGUGCGGUUGGAUUUGCUCCUCGCCAUGUCUUCUCACAAGACUUUCAGGAUCAAGAGAUUCCUGGCCAAGAAACAAAAGCAGAAUCGUCCCAUUCCCCAGUGGAUUCAAAUAAAAACUGGUAAUAAAAUCAGGUACAACUCUAAGAGAAGACAUUGGAGAAGAACCAAGCUGGGUCUAUAAGGAGCCUCACAUAUGAAGUGGCCC